ACCGGCGGCACUAGCGCGGUGGUCCCACCUGACCCCAUGCCGAACUCAGAAGUGAAACGCCGUAGCGCCGAUGGUAGCGUCUCCCCAUGCGAGAGUAGGGAACGCCGUGC
rnacentral:rRNA from 1 species